AUGCCUGGAGCAGUGGCAGCUGUAUUGUGGCUAUAAAGAAACAGGUCCAAAGACAAUAGUCAACGUGCAGAAGAUGGUGACAUAAAAUGGGGGAAAGCACGUGGGCUCCUUGUAUCUCAGAUGUCUAUGUAAGGAAAGAGGCAUGGCUGUAUUUUAGAACAGUGCUUCUGGGACUCCAGGGUGCCGGGAAUCAUCCCAACCCCUCUUAAGACGCAAUUUCUGAUUGAGAAGGUUUGCAGGGUGGAGCCUGACAUCAGGCAUUCCUAACAAACUCAGUGCCAAAGCUGUUGGUCCAGGGACUUUGAAUAACAAGAUUUUGGAGGAAGAGAAGAAAGAAUCUCUUCUGUUUUGAAAUGAGAAAAUGCACGUGGAAGACGGCAGAUGCUGUGACCAGAAAGGGCCAUCAUUCAAUACAAAUCAAUUCACAGCUGCAAGAUUGUAUGGGAUUAAACCCAGUUACAUUUUCUCAUACUUUUCUCUGGUGUGCUACUCCACGGCUCUGUCAUUCUGAAACAAGUUUAAGCUAGAAUCCACUGCACACAUCAAACACGAAGUCCAAGUUCACUUUUUGGAUUGGCCCUCUUCUAACGUGCUUCCAGACAACACCAGGGAGAGCUGCUGGCUGGUAUCUUCUGUGAACGUGUGUCCCUGUGUGCGUGCCUGUGCUCACAAGCCUGGUUGGCAUCUCGACUCUCCUCCUCCAGAACCACCGAGUGAUGCUGGGGCUGUGAGAUUUGCUGCCUGCCUAGGUCCCUCCCGUGCCACCGCACUCUGUUUGGCCUUUGUUGCGCUUUAUCCUGGACGACUCUUUCAGAAGUCCUUAGAAAGAACUGGAAAACUGUAGGAUUUCUUAACAUUCACAAGUUCAUUUGAAGUGAUAUUUUUCUGAUGAAAGCAAAUAAAAGUGAAUGUUUUUUCAUUUUCUUGAGUUGUCAGUUGCAGCUUGAGAUAGAACGGAGAAGAGAAAUUAGAAUAAUGGAAAACAACUUCUGUAGCUGUUAAAGCAGUUUUUCAGUUAGAAGACGCCAAGUACAUUCUUUAGUACUUUUUUUUUUUUUUUUCGCAAAUGAACAAAAUGCUUACAGACAAGGCAGCAGGAGACUUAAUACGUUUGUGAAUUCUUCAAUAUUCUUGAUAUAUCACCACUGUUAA